AUAGCGCUAUUAGUCACUGCACAUUAACUCUGUAAUUGAGACAUUUGAUUUAUGCGAUAUUGGUGUAUUUUGGGGAUUUACUUGACUGCACACUAAUUGUUGUAGUUUUUCAUUUGCAUUUUUUCCCAGUCAUUAAAUAAUGUUUUGCUAUCCACAACUGUUAUAUUUUUGUUCAAUUUAGUCACAGAUAAACAACCUUCGGUUAAUUGUUAUAUGGGAUUCUUGAACUUGUCUGAGAUAAAUGGUGUAUGUGUAAACUACAUGCCCACUAGGGAUGUCACUGAACACUGCAUUGGUAUUCCCUCCUUGACAAGUCAGUAGUGCCAUCUUGGCAGAUAUUGAAUACAAAAAUGUUUUGAAAUAGGAGAGCACAGAAAACACUGGAAUUAUGACACAUCAGGGUGAUUCCUUAUCCCAGUUGUUUUCAGUAUAUUGUAUAUUGAAACAGCCAAUCCAGUCAUAACAAAGCUAAUUUUGGAAGCAUGAGCCCUGACUCAUGGUUUCUGUAGGUAAGGCAUAAACUAUUUCCAAUCUGUCAUUGUGAAUCACUGAGCAGUGAUAGUGCUACCAUCACGGUCUACUGAGCGCCACAAUGAGCGCUAAGGGGUCGCUGGUUUCCUCACGUCUGCCAUUAGACGGUAGUGAUCUCUGAGGCAGUGAUGGCAUUGCGGACCAAGUCUUUUCGGUGAGCUGCAUCCUUUGGCUCCCAAACAACUCUUCGAUUAAAUGCUUGAAAAUAGCCCAAGAACCAGGGGAAACCGUGCACACAAAACCAAAAAAGGCGUCUACCAUUGUCAGGUCGUGAUGCACGUUGAAAUAAAAUUUUACCUGGACAAAUUUCGAUCGCAUACAUUUGUAUGCCAAAUGGAUUAGAUUGACGUGCUCACUCUGUUUCUGCAGUGAAUCCUCUUAAGAAAAUGAUUUUGUAAUGUAUUUGCAGAUUAUUGUUUUGAAGCAGUAGCAGUACGCAAAUCGGGGAGCCAAAUAAAAGGCCCUUUAGCCGAUUCGGUUCCUAACGUUCACCAAAAAGAGCCAUUCGUUCGCGAACGACCCAUCACUAUCAGACAGGAUUUGGGCCGAUCCAACAGAGCCCGUGAGUGGUAGCCAUUUUGCUCCCACCUAAAACACUAGUUUCAUUCGGAAUCGAAGAUGGAAGAAAUAGAACCGACAGCAAGUCCAAAAGCUCAACAAUUUUGAAACCCAGGAAUACAGACGGAUAUCAAGGCACACACGGACAACAUCACAACAAAAUUGCGAUUUUGGGAGCGGUGACAUCUGAACCUUCCGCCGUCCACUAUGAGUAGCCUAGAUUGGAGUCGAUCAACCUCUGCUUAGUUCAAUUUAACAGCCAAUGUAUUGUCUUUUUUGCAAUGAAAAAUAGUUACCAUACUUAAUUCUGAACAUAAAGGACGAUAGGGCGAAUGCCCUGCUGCGGAGGAGCGUUAUAGGGAAAUACAUGUCAUUCAAUUCUGUCUGCGUCUUCGUGACAUCUUGAGACAAAUUUGGAUUGGAUGGACCGAUGUUGAGACAGUUGCCGAAUUCAUGGUUUGUGUCCAAAGGCAAGAAUACAAUCGCCUCCCCUCGUAUUGCCAAAGGAGGUGCAGAAUAUAGGGAAAUAGACAACAUUUAAUCGAGAAAAUGUCAACAAAAACUCCUCUACCUACAGUCAAUGAGAAAGAGACAGAGAGCAGUAUCCGGCAAGCAAUGAAAAGACACCCCAUCAGUGUACAUACGUCUCACAGCAAUGGGCGCCAGGAGGUCACCGCUUGCUCCGUCCGCACCCGGAACUCUGGUGCCGACGAGCAGCCUCAUGUGGGGAACUACCGACUCCUGAAGACCAUUGGGAAGGGCAACUUCGCCAAGGUCAAGCUGGCCCGUCACAUCCUCACUGGCAGAGAGGUGGCGAUAAAGAUUAUCGAUAAGACACAACUGAACCCAAACAGCCUUCAAAAGCUCUUCAGAGAAGUAAGAAUAAUGAAGAUUUUAAACCACCCAAAUAUAGUGAAGCUGUUUGAGGUGAUCGAGACAGAGAGGACGCUGUACCUGGUGAUGGAGUAUGCCAGUAGAGGAGAGGUCUUCGACUACCUUGUUGCACACGGAAGGAUGAAGGAAAAAGAGGCCAGGGCUAAAUUUAGACAGAUCGUUUCUGCUGUGCAGUACUGCCACCAGAAGCACAUUGUUCAUAGAGACCUGAAGGCAGAGAACCUGCUGCUGGAUGCAGACAUGAACAUUAAGAUAGCGGACUUUGGCUUCAGUAAUGAGUUCACCAUGGGGAACAAGCUGGACACGUUCUGUGGCUCCCCACCCUACGCCGCCCCGGAGCUGUUUCAGGGGAAGAAGUACGAUGGGCCCGAGGUGGACGUCUGGAGCCUGGGGGUCAUCCUCUACACACUGGUCAGCGGCUCUCUGCCCUUCGACGGGCAGAACCUCAAGGAGCUUAGGGAGAGGGUUCUGAGGGGAAAAUAUCGUAUCCCCUUCUACAUGUCCACAGACUGCGAGAACCUCCUCAAGCGGUUCCUGGUGCUCAACCCGGCCAAGCGGGGGACUCUCGAGGUGAGAGAGGACAGCGAAAAUCAAAUCAUGAAAGACCGCUGGAUCAAUGCGGGAUCGGAGGAGGACGAGCUCAAGCCUUUCGUAGAACCAGAACAGGACAUCGCAGAUCAGAAGAGAAUAGAUGUAAUGGUGGGGAUGGGCUUCUCUCCAGAGGAUAUCCAGGAGUCUCUGGCCAAGAUGAAGUAUGAUGAGAUCACUGCCACCUACCUGCUGCUGGGGAGGAAGUCUUCUGAGCUGGAGCCAAGUGUUUCAACCUCCAGCAGCAACCUGUCCCUGGCUAAGCCCCGGCCCACCAGCGAGCUCAAUGGCCAGUCCCCCUCACACCUCAAAGUCCAGCGGAGCGUCUCCUCCAACCAGAAACAGAGACGCUACAGUGAUCAGGUGGGUCAGAAUGUUGCCCCAGGUUCAGGACACCCUAAGAGGAGCCAGACCAGCACGGCCGAAAACAACAUCAAAGAGGAGGGAGGGCGCAGUGUCCCCGGGGGGCGCUGUGUCCCCCCACCCAGCCCCUUGCUGGGGAACGCCAACAACCCCAACAAGGCUGAUAUUCCCAAUGGCAGGAAGGGGGUUACCACUGUUCCCAACAAUAACACUGGCUCUGACGGGAUGACGAGGAGAAACACGUACGUGUGCAGCGACAGGAACGCUAUGGACUGUCUCUCUGUCAUUCCCAAUGGGAAGGAGAACAGUGUGGCCGUGUCUCCUGGCCAGCGGAACCCUGUGGCAUCCACCCACAGUAUCACCACGCCAGACAGACUACGUUUCCCACGAGGCACGGCGAGCCGCAGCACCUUCCACAGUGGUCAGCUGAAGGAGCGCCGCACGGCUACCUACAACGGGCCCCCAGCCUCACCCACCCUGUCCCAAGACGCAGCGCCCCUUUCCCAGACCCGCAGCCGCGGCUCCAGCAACCUCUUCUCCAAACUCACCUCCAAACUCACACGCAGAAACAUUUCCUUUAGGUUUACGAAAAGGUAGGACCCCCUAUUACCUUCAGUGUGUGCAAUUAAUCAACUAAAACCAGUACUAGGACAAGCUGGAACUGACAUACUGCUUAGAACCUCUGUUUUGUGACAGUGAUUGGUCUUAGGCUUCUGGAGUUAACGAUGGGUUAGAUUGUAAGGGCAGUGUUGCUCUCUCAAUCGGUCAGUUAGUCAAAAAAUCCAUCAACAGCCAACAGAAAGCUUGACACUAAUCAAUCUCCAAUGCAUGCAGUGGGGACAGUCCUGCUUACAAAGUUGCUAUUGACUCUGAUUUGUUUUUAACAAAGUAAUGAUUGAUCUGUAUUGAACUGUUGUUCCAGGUAAGUUUGUGUUUUUUAUGUAGACAGAUAUGUGCUUGAAAGGUAGACUGAUUAUAUUUGUCUAUUCUAACUUUUGCUGUACCUUAUUAGUUAUGACCAAUGCUCCCUAUAAUAACUUUGCUGGCUUGUAGGAAUGUGAUCGACUUUGUGAUGUGGCGAUGCAGGAUAUAGAGUAUUCAGAUAAGAAUUAUUGUUUAUAAGGCUUUGGGAACUUCAGUUUGUAAUAUUUCUUUGUGGAGUCGUGUUCACUUGUUGGGAACCGAGAGGGUUGUGAAAUACUUUUUGUGAACCAGGCGUUCUGAUGAGCAAGAUCAGAGGGAUUUAUGUCUUGAUACAUCAAUUUGUAAACAUUUACAAGCAGAUGGUCUGGCAGAUCAGGAUAUGUUGUUUACAAAGCUGGGACAAUAGGCAAAGCUCUCCCACCAUACCUCCUCUUCAGACAUAACCUUCUGUUCUUCAGUCUGAUUAAGUGACACACUGACAUCUAGUGGCUACCAGAAGUUCUACAUCUUGGGAAGUUGUCACCUUUUGCAACACUUCCAUAUUUCUUCAUUCACCAGGUCCUUGUCACUCAUUUCAUUUCUCUGUUGAUUCUUAUUUCUGCACAGAGUAACAUCCUGGAAACGAUUGGUUUAAGUAUAGGGAAGGAAGUCUCUUGUCUCAGUAGUAGGCAAUGCGCUUUGAUUUCUGUUCCCUCCCUUCACUCUUCUCACUAUUGUACUGCUGUGUGCCAAUGUUUCCCUGACCUUUCUGUGCCUUUUAACCUUGGACCUUUUCACUGCUCUUCCUCCCUUCAGGGUCAGUAUUGACCCGACCAAACGGCAGAUGGCCAAAUCAGGGCCUGCCAUCCCUUCUGCCCAGGGAGCAAAGACUCUUAAGUCUCAACCGAGUUUGAA